CGGCGAGUGAAGCGGCAACAGCUCAAAUUUGAAAUCUGGCCUUCGGGUCCGAGUUGUAAUUUGUAGAGGAUGCUUUUGGCGCGGUGCCUUCCGAGUUCCCUGGAACGGGACGCCUUAGAGGGUGAGAGCCCCGUACGGUUGGACACCAAGCCUCUGUAAAGCUCCUUCAACGAGUCGAGUAGUUUGGGAAUGCUGCUCUAAAUGGGAGGUAAAUUUCUUCUAAAGCUAAAUAUUGGCCAGAGACCGAUAGCGCACAAGUAGAGUGAUCGAAAGAUGAAAAGCACUUUGAAAAGAGGGUUAAAUAGCACGUGAAAUUGUUGAAAGGGAAGCGUUUGCGACCAGACCUUUUCCUGGUGGAUCAUCCGGUGUUCUCACCGGUGCACUUCGCCAGGUUUAGGCCAGCAUCGGUUCUUGUAGGGGGACAAAAGCUCGGGGAAUGUAGCUCCCUCGGGAGUGUUAUAGCCCCGUGCAUAAUACCCUUACGGGGACCGAGGACCGCGCUUCGGCAAGGAUGCUGGCGUAAUGGUCGUCAACGACCCGUCUUGAAACACGGACCAAGGAGUCGAACAGUUGUGCGAGUGUUUGGGUGUUAAACCCUCACGCGUAAUGAAAGUGAACGGAGGUGAGAGCCCGCAAGGGUGCAUCAUCGACCGAUCCUGAUGUCUUCGGAUGGAUUUGAGUAAGAGCAUCACUGUUCGGACCCGAAAGAUGGUGAACUAUGCGUGGAUAGGGUGAAGCCAGAGGAAACUCUGGUGGAGGCUCGCAGCGGUUCUGACGUGCAAAUCGAUCGUCAAAUCUGCGCAUGGGGGCGAAAG
rnacentral:rRNA from 1 species